rnacentral:lncRNA from 1 species
ACGCCCCGGCCCUUGGGUCCGGCUCGGAAGCAGCCCCGGAAACGACGGCAUUUGUUGGGGAAACAAGACCGGAAUUGACCAAGAACAGGAAGAGGAGGGGCCAGGCCUGCAAUUCCCAGAAUGCUCGAGGGCUAACCGACAGCCAGGCUGGCUUCCCGUGGUCUCAGCGCCACCUGCCGGAAGCCGCGAGAACAGCGGCCGCCUCAGGCAGGAAGUGCGUCAUCUCGCACGGAGGACGAAUGCCGUUCCCGGCACUUCCGGUCCUGACCGGAAGCGGUAACCGUCACUCCUUCUGGGCUCUGUCAGUGCACCGAGGCGGGGCUCCCCAGGAUCCCACGGUCCCGCUCAGGCCAGACGCAGAGGCAGUCCCAGCCCGCGAUGAGGACGUGGGGUCGUGACCGCUGGGCCACGGUGAAGGGGGCAGCCCUGCUGGACCCGCUAGCUGGGCCGACGCUUUCCCACCCCUAGGGGUUUGCUGGGCCCUGGCCGCAAACUUGUGGGGCGCCGUCCUCGGGGCCACUGCCCGGCCACCCUCACACCCUUGGGCCCUCAGCUCUGGUGCAUUGGUCCGGGCUCCGGGAGGCACUGAGACGUCCCCCUAGGGCGCUGCAGGGAAGCGAGGGCCAGGCCCUUCCAGGUCCCCGGUCCUCCCGGGCAGGAUGGAGGCUGCUGAACGCUCCUCAAGCUUCCAAGUCAGCCGUGGCUGGGCGGGCGGCAGCAGGGAAGGUUUGGGCUCCGCCAUGCUUGCGAGCCAGCAGCCUGGCCUCGCCUGUCCGCAGCAGGGGGCAGGUCAGCUGCCCGCCCUGAAAGGGAGGACCAGGGCCCAGAUUCUCCCUGCGACAAGCCGCGUCUUCCUUGGCCACUGGGCCCUAGAUGGUUGGCACCUUGUGCCCCUUCUCAGCUGGGAGAGUUCCUGCCCCACACACUCAAGGAUUCUGAGUUCUCCUUGGCUGCUAGACCUCUGGUCCCUCUGAAAGGCUCGAGAGAGAACUCCCCCAGGGCCUGCUGUCCUGGCAUCCGCUGGGAAAUAGGAUUCAAGGACCUGCUGUGGCUCAGCCUAGAAAAAAGGAGGGGAAGCAGGACCCACUCCUCGGCCCCCGGUCUGCUGUGCGCCUUUGGGAUUCCUUAUUUCUUAAACUGCUCUUCCCUCCCCACAGGGAACACAGCGGAAAGUAGAGAGGGGGCUCCUUGGACCAUUAUGUUCUCCCAACCAGUGCAGGCUUGCAAGUUGGGAGCAGCAGGGGAGGAGGGCCUGCUGAGAGACUCUGUAACCCCCUAAAAUGCAGGGCUGGGGACAGUUUCCAAAUUGGCCUGCAAAGAGGCUGCUGGGAGCCCUAGAUAUGAAUUCCCAGGCACUCAUUUCCUCCAGGGAACAGUGAAAUGUGCCAGCACCCCCCUCCCCACAACUAGGGAAAAGUAGCCUAACCCAGAGCAAGCCCCACCCCACGAUGUGGGGAAAGAUAGGAGAGUCUAGACCAAGCCCACUGGCUGGAGGUGCUCAGACAAAGGGAAAAGGACGGGGGAGUGCAGGGGCUCCUUAGCCCCACAGCCUGUCUGCCCCCAACCACCGCUCGCUGGUGGGCUGGGGGGGCUCCCUAGUAGGAUGAGGUCUUUCUUCCCCUCCAGACCCUCUGAGAUGUGGCUCAGGCCUGAGCCAUCAGCUCCUCAAAGGAACAUUUACAGGUAACAGAUGGGCAGGGCAGAGACCCUCAAAUGCUCGGGAGGGGGCAGUGUGUCCAUCCUUUACCAUCCCUCAGGAGGAAGAGGAGUCCUGCAGCGCACCCAGCCCCUACCCCAAGCCCAUCUCACUGCAUUCCCUGGCUGCCCGACCCCUCCUGCCCACCUGCUUACACUGUGUGCCCCUUGUGUGCCCAAGGGGCAGGGUGGAAGUGGCUGCAGGCAACACAGGGCCUCUCCCAAAAGAGAAUAGAGAGAACGCUCCCAAAAAGGGCCCUUGCUACCUGGAGUUGCUCCCUGGUUUAAACCCAAAGUAAAAUUCUAAGCAACCCCAACCAACUGAAUGGGCACCUCUUGGCCAAAUGCAUUCUAAAGUAAACCUGAAAAGCUCGUUGAGGCCAUGAUGACUGUGGGUGGCCGAACAUGCCUCAUAGGCACAGCUGACCAGCAUUCACAUUAAAACAGAGACCUUAGUCCGGUGUGGUGGCUCACACCUGUAAUCCCAAAACCUGGUGUGUCACGUGAGGUCAGGAGUUCGAGACUAGCCUGGCCACCGUGGCGAAACACCGUCUCUACUAAAAAUACAAAAUUAGCUGGGUGGGGUGGUGCAUGCCUGUUGUCCCAGCUACUCAGGAGGCUGAGGCAGGAGAAUCGCUUGAACCUGGGAGGUGGAGGGGAGGCUGCAGUGAGCUGAGAUCACGCCAUUGCACUCCAACCUGGGUGACAAGAGCAAAACUCUGUCUAAAAAUAAAAAGACCUUAAGACUCACAAAACAGACUCUGUAGUAAUAAGAUACCAACGUGACAGCAGGCCCUGAAAGAAACCGAAGUAUUUUACCCCAAAAUAUAUUUCUCUGAUGUAUUUUGAAAUGGCCCUGCAAAGCUGUCUCUUGGGAAAAUCUACAUUCUAUAGAGAAUCCCCCUCCCUUUCCAGGUCUAUUUCCUGAUCCAGGAGAGAAUUAACUAAGAUUCUGGUACCUUUUUAAGUCUGAUAAGAAACAUUUACAAUCUGGCGGCUUCAUCUGCAUAAUAAUCUUGGUCUCCACAACUCCUCUUAACCCAGAUAGUCCAUUCUAUUGAUUUCAGGUCUUUAGAUAAAAUCAACCAAUUAUUAAUCAGAACAUCUUUUAAUCCGCCUAUGACCUGAAAGUCCCUCCCCUUCAAAUCGUCCCACCUUUCCGACUAAACCAACGUACAUCUUAGAUGUAAUGAUCAAUGUCCUAUGUCCCUAAAAUGUAUACAAUUAAGUAGCCAGACCGCCUUGGGCACAAGUUCUCAGGACCUGGGGCUGUGUCACAGGCCACCGGUGCUCAUAUUUGGCUCAGAAUAAAUAACUCCCCAAAUUUUACAGAGUGACUCCUUUGGUGAACACCAGGGAUCCCGACCCACCCACCCUCACCCUGGACCCCACAGAGUCCACAGAGCCAAGCCCCACCGAUGUCAGAUUCCCCUGCCCUCCGGCCAACCCCUAGGUCUCAGACACCACUGGCACUGAGGGACUGCACAGGCCUGGUAGCAUGCCUGAUGUUCCUUCUUUAUUAAAUGACGGAGUCAGGAUGUUGUGAUUACAGUUGAAGGCGACGUGUUAGAAAGGACAGGUGCAUGAAGGCAGAGAGUUCCCCAAGACCCAGGCCCGUCUCCACUCAUACACGCCACCUACAUGUGACGUCAGCCCUGAAAAGGUAACAGGAAAGUUCA